rnacentral:rRNA from 1 species
GACGAACGCUGGCGGCGUGCUUAACACAUGCAAGUCGAACGGAAAGGCCCUGCUUUUGUGGGGUGCUCGAGUGGCGAACGGGUGAGUAACACGUGAGUAACCUGCCCUUGACUUUGGGAUAACUUCAGGAAACUGGGGCUAAUACCGGAUAGGAGCUCCUGCUGCAUGGUGGGGGUUGGAAAGUUUCGGCGGUUAGGGAUGGACUCGCGGCUUAUCAGCUUGUUGGUGGGGUAGUGGCUUACCAAGGCUUUGACGGGUAGCCGGCCUGAGAGGGUGACCGGCCACAUUGGGACUGAGAUACGGCCCAGACUCCUACGGGAGGCAGCAGUGGGGAAUAUUGGACAAUGGGCGGAAGCCUGAUGCAGCAACGCCGCGUGCGGGAUGACGGCCUUCGGGUUGUAAACCGCUUUCGCCUGUGACGAAGCGUGAGUGACGGUAAUGGGUAAAGAAGCACCGGCUAACUACGUG